GUCACUUGGCACUGGCAUUACAAAGAAUGAAACUUAGCUUCAAUUCAGGCACUCUUAACAGAAUAACGAAACUCAGUUCAGGUAGACAAUAUGAUUCCCCAUAAGGUUACACACUUGACCAUUAAUAUUUUAACAUCAUACCAAACACAUGAGCAUUGUCAAUCAAAAUUCACAUUUCUUAAGAAAUAUGAUCUCACAAAAUUUUAUUAACCAAUCAGAAACAUCCAGAGUUAUUAAACAGAGAUUAAAAAAAUGAACAAAGCAAUGGGAUAAUAACAAAAGAAAAUGCCGUCGUUUAUUAAAUUUUCCUUAAGCACAUACUUCAAGUGGUAACAGAUAUAACAAAAAUUUAGUAAGAGCAAUUAAGGAACUAAAGCAGUAUACAUUUUAAUAGAUUAUCAAAUAACAUGAGAAUUAGAUUGGCCAUCCCUUGCCAUCUCUUUUUUAUACAUAACUAAAAUUCUGUUGCAAUAUCUGUAUAAUCUCUAUCUAUAUAAAUAUAAUAAAAUUUGUCUCUAAAAUAAGAUCACUUAAAAGCGACAAGAGGCAUUCUAUUAGAUUUUUUUCCCCUUUGUCUAUUUUAUCCUUAUUUUACUAUUACCACUAUUUAAUAUGUGAUUUUUCAGUUUCUUAUAUGUUUA
rnacentral:misc_RNA from 1 species